UACGUAGGGGGCGAGCGUUGUCCGGAUUUAUUGGGCGUAAAGAGCUCGUAGGCGGUUGGGUAAGUCGGGUGUGAAAACUCAGGGCUCAACUCUGAGACGCCACUCGAUACUGCCCUGACUCGAGUCCGGUAGGGGAGCGUGGAAUUCCCGGUGUAGCGGUGAAAUGCGCAGAUAUCGGGAGGAACACCAGUGGCGAAGGCGACUACCUGGCCUGUUCUUGACGCUGAGGCGCGAAAGCUAGGGUAGCGAACGGG
rnacentral:rRNA from 1 species